UACGGAGGGUGCGAACGUUAAUCGGAAUCACUGGGCGUAAAGCGCGCGUAGGCGGUCCGUUAAGUGGGAUGUGAAAUCCCCGGGCUUAACCUGGGAAUUGCAUUUCAAACUGGCCGACUAGAGUACGGUAGAGGGAGGUAGAAUUUCCUGUGUAGCGGUGAAAUGCGUAGAUAUAGGAAGGAAUACCAGUGGCGAAGGCGGCCUCCUGGAUCGAUACUGACGCUGAGGCGCGAAAGCGUGGGGAGCAAACAGG
rnacentral:rRNA from 1 species